GAUGAAGAACGUAGCGAAACGCGAAAGGUAAUGCGAAUUGCAGAAUCAGUGAGUCAUCGAAUCUUUGAACGCACAUUGCGCCCCUUGGUAUUCCGGGGGGCACGCCUGUUCGAGCGCCAUUACACACCCCAAGCUAAGCUUGAUGUUGGGCGAUGUCUGUCACAGGACACGCCUGGAACGUAUGGGCGCCGCCGCCGGAUCACGAGUGUAGCAAGACGCAAGUCAUCGCUCGGUCGGUCCUGGCGGUUGGCCGCCGCGGCUCAUGGUAACACAUGGGCCAGUAACGUUUCACAAGUUUGGCCUCGAAUCAGGCGGGGAUACCCGCUGAACUUAAGCAUAUCAAUAAGCGGAGGA
rnacentral:misc_RNA from 1 species